rnacentral:lncRNA from 1 species
GAUUGUGUGCCAUCAAUGUCAGCUACCAAGUUAUGUUGUCUUUCCCAGAUUAUAUUGUCAUAGAGGCAAACAAAGAAUAAGAAUUAGCUUUUAACUUGCAUGUUUGGUAUCCAAACUAUACUCUAAAGGUUCUGUUACCUGCCUGUGCUGACUUCUUGCUGAUACAAGGUUUCCAUCGUUUUCCAAUCUUUUUGUAAUGAGACAACUGUGAAAAACAAGGACAAGAGGAAAUUAUCACAUACAUGUGAGAAAGUGAAAUAAUAACUAUGUGUGACCUUCUACCCACUAUACCUAUGGCACACUUGAUUUCCAUCACCUUCCACCACUUCCUCACUGAUUGUAUAUCUCUAUAGUUGGAACUUUGCUUUGACAAUAUGGUUUUCCAUGCCGCACC